CCUACGGGGGGCAGCAGUGGGGAAUAUUGGGCAAUGGAGGCAACUCUGACCCAGCAAUGCCGCGUGAGUGAUGAAGGUAAUUUUAUUGUAAAGCUCUUUUCUUUGGAACGAAUAAAUGACGGUACCAAAGGAAUAAGCUCUGGCUAACUAUGUGCCAGCAGCCGCGGUAAUAUGAAUGGGGCAAGCGUGGUUCGGAAUGACUGUGCGUAAAGGGUGUGUAGGUGGUUUGAGAAGUUAGAUGUGUAAUAGCCAGGGCUUAACUCAGGUGCUGCAUCUAAAACUGUUAGACUUGAGUUCUGGAGAGGAUAGUGGAAUUCCAAGUGUAGCGGUGGAAUGCGUAGAUAUUAGGAGGAACAUCAGUGGCGAAGGCGACUAUCUGGACAGCAACUGACACUGAGGCACGAAAGCGUGGGGAGCAAACAGGAUUAGAUACCCCAGUAGUC
rnacentral:rRNA from 1 species